GCACAAUAUUUCUCCGUUGUUAACCGUUUUUCUCAAACUAUCAUUAUGCUAUAAUAAUCCAUUAUAGUUCUUGUGCAUUAUCGCAUAGUCACGCGAAUUUUAUACUAUAUAAUGUGACCCCCUAACGUGGUGUCUUCCAUUCUCUCUCUCUUUCUUUAUUUCUACCUGACGUGGAUUUUAAUGACUACACAAAGGUUUUAGAUUUUUAUGUUUUUGCUUAGAACUAUGUUUUUGGAGCAGGAUUGGGAAAAUCUCGACGUUAUUGGUGUUGUUCCUGGCUGCUG